rnacentral:rRNA from 1 species
GAUGAACGCUGGCGGCGUGCCUAAUACAUGCAAGUCGAGCGAACAGACGAGGAGCUUGCUCCUCUGACGUUAGCGGCGGACGGGUGAGUAACACGUGGAUAACCUACCUAUAAGACUGGGAUAACUUCGGGAAACCGGAGCUAAUACCGGAUAAUAUAUUGAACCGCAUGGUUCAAUAGUGAAAGACGGUUUUGCUGUCACUUAUAGAUGGAUCCGCGCCGCAUUAGCUAGUUGGUAAGGUAACGGCUUACCAAGGCGACGAUGCGUAGCCGACCGGAGAGGGUGAUCGGCGACACUGGAACUGAGACACGGUCCAGACUCCUACGGGAGGCAGCAGUAGGGAAUCUUCCGCAAUGGGCGAAAGCCUGACGGAGCAACGCCGCGUGAGUGAUGAAGGUCUUCGGAUCGUAAAACUCUGUUAUUAGGGAAGAACAAAUGUGUAAGUAACUAUGCACGUCUUGACGGUACCUAAUCAGAAAGCCACGGCUAACUACGUG